rnacentral:rRNA from 1 species
GAGUUUGAUCGUGGCUCAGGAUGAACGCUAGCUACAGGCUUAACACAUGCAAGUCGCGGGGCAGCAUGUAUCUGGCUUGCCAGAUACGAUGGCGACCGGCGCACGGGUGAGUAACGCGUAUCCAACCUGCCCAUAACCACGGCACAGCCCGUCGAAAGGCGGAUUAAUGCCGUAUGAGGUUCCGGCGUAGCAUUAUGGUGGAACGAAAGGAUUGGCGGUUAUGGAUGGGGAUGCGUCCGAUUAGCUUGUUGGCGGGGUAACGCCCACAAGGCGACGAUCGGUAGGGGUUCUGAGAGGAACGGUCCCCCCAACUGGAACUGAGACACGGUCCAGACUCC